CCUACGUGCGGCAGCAGUGAGGAAUAUUGGUCAAUGGACGAGAGUCUGAACCAGCCAAGUCGCGUGAAGGAUGACUGCCCUAUGGGUUGUAAACUUCUUUUAUAUGGGAAUAAAUUGUUCUACGUGUGGGAUUUUGUAUGUAUCAUAUCAUUCAGGAUCGGCUAACUCGGUGCCAGCAGCCGCGGUAAUACGGAGGAGCCGAGCGUUAUCCGGAUUUAUUGGGUGUAAAGGGAGCGUAGGUGGAUAGUUAAGUCAGGUGUGAAAGUUUGCGGCUGAACCGUAAAAUUGCAGUUGAAACUGGCAGUCUUGAGUACAGUAGGGGUGGGCGGAAUUCGUAGUGUAGCGGUGAAAUGCUUAGAUAUCACGAAGAACUCCGAUUGCGAAGGCAGUUCACUGGACUGCAACUGACACUGAGGCUCGAAAGUGUGGGUAUCAAACAGGAUUAGAUACCCCUGUAGUC
rnacentral:rRNA from 1 species